CUGCGUUCGAUUAGCUCGUUGGUGAGGUAACGGCUUACCAAGGCAAAGAUGUCUAGCGGGUGUGAGAGCACGACCCGCGCCACUGGCACUGAGACACUGGCCAGACACCUACGGGUGGCUGCAGUCGAGGAUCUUCGGCAAUGAGCGCAAGCUUGACCGAGCGACGCCGCGUGCGGGAUGAAGGCCUUCGGGUUGUAAACCGCUUUGGUCCGAGAGUAAGGCAGGAGCAAUCCUGCUUGAACAAUCGGAGAAACAAGCACGGGCUAAGUUCGUGCCAGCAGCCGCGGUAA
rnacentral:rRNA from 1 species